CUCUGAUACCACUGUUGGGUGCUAUUGGGCCUUCUCACCCCAAAAGCUAGCUCAAAGGGUGAGGCUUUCCCUCACACUUAUAAACAGCACCCAGCCCCUUCCACUCUCCGAUGUGGGAUAACCCAACAACCUCCCCCUCACACAUCGGUCUCUCGGUAGGCAUUACCCAUCUACCGGCUCUGACCGGAUCACCAUCGGUCCUUCGGACCGGAUCCCGGGAGGUGUUGUCAACCUGGGCUCUGAUACCACUGUUGGGUGCUAUUGGGCCUUCUCACCCCAAAAGCUAGCUCAAAGGCGUGAGACUUUCCCUCACAUUCCAAAUCGAGUAAUUUGAUGACGUUAACUUAAUCAUUGCUCCGCUUGAAUCAUCCAUUCUUGCCAUCCACCCAAACCAGCCCCAACACAACCUCGAGCUCUGAUACCACUGUUGGGUGCUAUUGGGCCUUCUCACCCCAAAAGCUAGCUCAAAGGGUGAGGCUUUCCCUCACACUUAUAAACAGCACCC
rnacentral:lncRNA from 1 species